CACAUAUAUGUGUGUGUGUGUGUGUGUGUGUGUGUAUGUAUCUGCUUUUAAAGUCACAGUAAAAUUUCAAGGAAGGAAAAAACAUUCUUGAUUCUGAGCAGAGAUAGCCUUCCUCAGUAGACCAGCGCAUUUGUUUCAAAUGUUAAACCCCAUGACAGCCUACCAUUAUCACCUGGAGUCCAUAGAUUGCAUUGGAGUUCAUUUUGAACAUUGUACGUUGUAGUUCUGACAAAUAUGCCCUAACUACGACAUUGUUAUACCGGACAGUUUCAUAACUCUGAAAAUCCUGUAUAGGGCUUUACCCUCUCCUCUUUCUUUUGGUCCCCUCUUUCUAAGAGAUUUACUAAUGACUCUUCAGACAUAUUCUGAGGCCUUUAGAAAUAAGAAAUGUGAAAGACAGAAGAAAAUGAUGAGAUAGGACUUUGUGUGCUAAUACUCAGAUAUUCCUAAGACUUGAUAAUGGUAAAGAACCACUUUUUGUGGCGCAUCAUAAUACCCUUUGACUAGCCAUCUCUCUCUCUCUCUCUCUCUCUCUCUCUCUCUCUCUCUCUCUCUCUCUCUCUCUCUCUCUCUCUCUCUCUCUCAACAAGCAGAAGACUAUGGUGGACCAGCAAAGGAAGCAUGGCCUGAUGUCAAGUCACUGUCUCACCGCUGACAGUGUUGCAACAACAAUGUCACCGAGAAUGAAGGACAUCCAGCAUGUAAAAGGAAUUUUCACCAUUGCAUCCUGUGACUGUGCAUACUGAACACUAACUGUAUCCUUUCUCCUCGUCUCUGGGACUCGGUCACCUUUCUGCUCUCUGCUUCUGCCACUCUGUCUGAUGAAAGUACUUCCUGUUUGUGAAAUUAGAAGAAAAGUCCCAUUGUGAUACUGAAAGGAGACCGCAUCACGAGUCAGAAGAGAGGCUUCUGCAAGCAUCAACACUCACCCCUCUGCCUGGACUCCUAGCCUGGGAUCGGUGGGAAAGUAGAUCUUGUUGCUUAAGUGACUCAGUCAGGACAUUUUGUUAGGGAGUCCUUGGCAGAUUGAGAUAUGUCUAUAGAUCAUAUCGAAUAUCCAUCUCUCUCUCUAUAUAUAUAUAUAUAUAGAGAGAGAGAGAGAGAGAUUGAAUGUACAUAUGUAUAUAGAGACUGAAUUCUAUAGAUAGAUAUAGAUUUUCAAUAUGAAUAUAUAUAGUAUAUGUGAGUAUGUGUGGAGAGAUGCUCACACUUGUGGGUGCAAAUUUCUAUGUGUGUGCUUUUGUGUUUGGAGAGAGAGAGAAAGAGAGAGAGAGAGGAGUGAAUGUGCAUAUGUGGAGAGAGAAAGAGAAUAUGUGUGUGUGUGUGUGGAGAGAGAGAGAGAGAGAGAGAGAGAGACAGAGAGAGAGACAGAGACAGAGACAGAGACACAUGUAUAGUCUGAGGGUCUUUCUUGAUCGCUCUUCCUUCUGAUUCUUUUGUGACAUGUCUCCCUCAGACCUCAGAGUUUGGUGAUAACUAGUCUCUCUCACUAACUUGCUUAGAAACACACCCCUUCCUCCACCUCCAAGGCUGAAAUUACAAGUGGGUCUGCCCUUUCUCCCAGUAUUUACAUGGGUUCUGGGCACCCAAUCUCCUUGGCUAUGUGGCAAAUAUUUUACCUACUGGGUGGUCUUCCUACCCUCUGAUUUAGAAUUGUUUAGAGAUACUGUAUCCACAAUGCAUUUUCAGUUUAAAGUUCAAUAAUUUGAAGUCAAGCAAUACAACAGAAUUCUCAAUUUUUCAUGUAUGUGAUAAUCUUGUAAUUUUAUUUGCUUGGUUUCCUGAGGGAACUAUUUCCUGAAAAAAUGGUGUGCAUGAGGAAUGCCCUAGGCAGUAUCCAAGGCAUGCCAGAGUUUCCAGCCUUCAGCACUGUGAGAAAACCACUUCUUUGUCUCCAACACCUACUCUACAGGACUUACUAUAGGACCUGAACAAAGACAUACAUAUCAGUGGAAGAACUCUUCCUAACGAAUCAGAACAUAUGUGCUCCUGUAGCUUAAAAAAUAAAGCUCCAACAGAACUUCUUACUCUCACGUAUAUGGUAAUUGAGUUUGUCUUUUCGGAAAAGUUCUUCUGACUUUAACCACAGAAAAUAUAAAAAUGCAAUCAAUUUAAGGUCAUUGAGCCACAGCUGUAGGAGGCACCAUAGGUCAGUGGUUCUCAACCUCCCUAAUGCUGUGGCCCUUUAAUACGGUUGCUCAUGUUCUGGUGAUGCCCAUUUCAUAAGUGUAAUUUUGCUACUGUAAUGUAUGAGUCAUGACAUAAAAACGAAAGGGGUCCAGACCCACAGAUUGAGGACCACUGCCAUAGAUCAAUAAUCAGGAAAUAAAAUCAAUGUUUUAAGUGUUCUUUGCUAACACCCCCCACAAAAAAACAAACUCUUUAUAAACUCAAAAAUCGAAACAAUAGUAUUUAUAUAGCGUUAAGUAAUAAGUUGAAUAAUUAUAAUGAAAAAUAAAUAAAUAAAGGUACUCGUUAGUAUGGCUACCAUAAAAAUGAGACAAAAAAGAAGGCAAAGCUAACAAAUAUUAGCAAGGUUUUUCGAAAAAUUGGACUUUUUGUGCACUGCUGCUGAGACUGGACAGUAUACGGCUACUGCAGAGGACGGGAAACAUUGUUUCAGAAAUUAAAAGUAGAAGUUGUCCUAUGAAGUUGUCCUAUGACCCAAUAACCUCAAAUAUAACUAAAAGAAUAUUUCCACACCUAUAUUCAAUGCAGCAUAAUUCAAAUAUAUUCAUAUGAAUUGUAAAUAUAUGGUGGAUAAUAUGCAGCCUUAAAAUGUGAGAAAUUCUGUCACAGCAGGAUUCUGUUACAGUGUGUGUAAACCCUGAGGGAAAUCAGGUAACCACAAAAAUAUACUCUGUGUUCCAUUUGCAUGAGGCACAAUCAUAGAGAAUAGGACAUAGGUUGCCAGGAUUUGCAAGGAGCUAGGGGAGGAGUUUACCAUCUUAUGAGACAGGACUUGAGCUUCCCAAGAUGAAGCACUCUGGAGAAAGAUGAUGGUCGUGCACUUAAAAUGGUUAACAUGGAGGGGUUGGGGUCUUGGCUCAGUGGUAGAGCGCUUGCCUAGCAAGCGCAAGGCCCUGGGUUCGGUCCCCAGCUCCGAAAAAAAAAAAAAAAAAGGUUAACAUGGUAUAUUUUGUUACGUAUAUUUUGCUACAAAAGUAUAAAAAAAUUAAAGAAAAAAUUAUCUUUGUCCUAUUUGCAACAGAAAGCAAACAUCCUUACAGAGCAAGACAAAGUAUUUAGUUCAUUGGUUUGUGAAUCCAGCAUGAUGUACAACUGAUCCCAAAUACCUGGAAGAAUAAGGUUCCGCUUCAUUGCAGUAAAAAGACUUACCAUUUCUAGUUCAUGUGGGGAUGCUGACUAAUAGUUAAGAUGAUUAUAGAAACAUAAAAGGUCAAUGAUAAGCGCCAGCAGAGGUGGGAAGGAAUAAGCUGAUUCACUCAGUUAAAGCACUCUUCAUGGUAAGAAGUAAGGGGUGAACAGUGGAUCGGAAAUUUUGACCUACUUUGCAGAGGUUCAAAGAUGAACGUGAACAGACAGGACAUGCAAGCAAUCAAACGGAGACCGUUGGUCGGACUUAAGAGCUGCAUCAGGAAACUCAGUAGCCCAUGCAGGGAAGAGAAAUGAAAGUCCAGAAAGCCAAUACAAAACGGAACAAAAGCAAAAGCAAACAACACAAGAGGCAACUGAGUGUAGAUCAGUUAGCUUGGUCGAGUGUAGACACACAUCUGAGUCACAUGUAUAUUUUAAUCUUUUAAAUCACCAGACAUUUGUAAAAUGGACUACGUGAACUCUGAAAUCUUGUCACUCUUCACAAUUCAGCUGAGCCAGGUAUGGUGACUCAGGCGCACACCUUUUAACACAGCACUAGGAAACAGGAGGUGGGUCUCUGAGUUAGAAAGACGCUAGGCUCAUCUACAGAGUAAGUUCCAGGACAGGCAGGCAAGGCCUACUCAGAGAGACCCUGCCUCAGCUGGGGAGGAGGGAGGGGAUGACAGUUAAAACUUAGAAUAUUAAACCUAAAAGUGACCGUUUGAAAUGUUAAUUUGCAUUCUAAUAUUUCUUUCCAGGAUAAACCAUGUUGCCUUAAUAUUUUUAUUUCAGGCAUUCAGUGAUUUAUACAGAAUAAACUUCAGUGGUAUCUCUGUGGACUCUGUCUUUUUAAUUAUGCAUUAUGGUUUCCAAUUUUGUGUUUUUAUUGUAUGUGUGUUUGUGUUCUUUCUCUCUCUCUCCUUUUUUUUUAUGAUUUGCCUUUUUUAG